rnacentral:rRNA from 1 species
UGGGUAACCUGCCUCAAAGAGGGGAAUAGCCUCCCGAAAGGGAGAUUAAUACCGCAUAAUAUGUUUAGGUCGCAUGACUUUAACAUCAAAGGAUUUUCUUUUAGAACUUCCACUUUGAGAUGGACCCGCGGCGCAUUAGCUAGUUGGUGAGGUAACGGCUCACCAAGGCAACGAUGCGUAGCCGACCUGAGAGGGUGAUCGGCCACAUUGGAACUGAGACACGGUCCAGACUCCUAGGGAGG